rnacentral:rRNA from 1 species
GAUGAACGCUGGCGGCGUGCCUAAUACAUGCAAGUCGAGCGAACAGACGAGGAGCUUGCUCCUCUGACGUUAGCGGCGGACGGGUGAGUAACACGUGGAUAACCUACCUAUAAGACUGGGAUCACUUCGGGAAACCGGAUCUAAUACCGGAUAAUAUAUUGAACCGCAUGGUUCAUUAGUGAAAGACGGUUUUGCUGUCACUUAUAGAUGGAUCCGCGCCGCAUUAGCUAGUUGGUAAGGUAACGGCUUACCAAGGCUACGAUGCGUAGCCGACCUGAGAGGGUGAUCGGCCACACUGGAACUGAGACACGGUCCAGACUCCUACGGGAGGCAGCAGUAGGGAAUCUUCCGCAAUGGGCGAAAGCUUGACGGAGCAACGCCGCGUGAGUGAUGAAGGUCUUCGGAUCGUAAAACUCUGUUAUUAGGGAAGAACAAAUGUGUAAGUAACUAUGGACGUCUUGACGGUACCUAAUCAGAAAGCCACGGCUAACUACGUG